GAUGAACGCUGGCGGCAUGCCUAAUACAUGCAAGUCGAACGAGAGGAAGGAAAGCUUGCUUUCCUGAAUCUAGUGGCGAACGGGUGAGUAACACGUAGGUAACCUGCCCAUGUGCCCGGGAUAACUUCUGGAAACGGAUGCUAAAACCGGAUAGGUAGCAGACAAGCAUUUGACUGCUAUUAAAGUGGCUAAGGCCAUGAACAUGGAUGGACCUGCGGUGCAUUAGCUAGUUGGUGAGGUAACGGCCCACCAAGGCGACGAUGCAUAGCCGGCCUGAGAGGGCGGACGGGCACAUUUGGAAUGAGACACGGCACAAACUCCUACGGGAGGCAGCAGUAGGGAAUUUUCGUCAAUGGGGGGAACCCUGAACGAGCAAUGCCGCGUGAGUGAGGAAGGUCUUCGGAUCGUAAAGCUCUGUUGUAAGAGAAAAACGGCACUCAUAGGGAAUGAUGAGUGAGUGAUGGUAUCUUACCAGAAAGUCACGGCUAACUACGUGCCAGCCGCCGCAGUAAGAC
rnacentral:rRNA from 1 species